rnacentral:tRNA from 24 species
UACCCCCAGGGGAAGUCGAAUCCCCGUUGCCUCC